rnacentral:rRNA from 1 species
AUGCCCGCCGGGGGAGGAGAAGCAAGCAAUGGCCGCGCGGGGAAGGAGCAGAGCCACCCGCCGGCGAUCCGCCGCCGCGACGAGUCCCGUCCUGCGCCGCCGUUCCCCGCCGUAGCUUCGCAGGAGAAGAGGAAGCAGAGGAAGCAGAGGCAACCGGCGGCGGCGGAGGCGAGCGUCUCCUCCGAGGGCCCCCUCGCCGAGAUCCUGGCGCGGCUGCCCUACCGGUCGCUCUGCCGCUUCCAGUGCGUCUCCAAGCAGUGGGCCGAGCUCUGCUCCGACCUCAUCAGAAGCAUCAAGACGGCGCCGCAGACCCUCUCCGGAUUCUUCCACAACAACUUGGCCGGGAACCUCUGCUUCAGCAAUUUGUCCGGCGGACGCCCGCUGGUUGACGCUUCGCUCCCGUUCCUGCGUGAGAGCUACCAAAGAUUCAAGCUCCAGCAAUGCUCCACCAGCCUCCUCCUCUGCAAGUGCUGGGAAUCGGAAGACGACGACGAAUUCGACUUUGUCGUGUGCAACCCAAUGACCGAGCAGUGGGCCGUGCUGCCUCCUAUAAAAUGGCAACCGGGCGAAGACGAUGAAGGCACCGAAUGUUUCGACCUGAUGUAUCCCUUCCUGGUUUUCGACCCGGCCGCUCCGUCUCGUUUCGUGGUGUUUGCGCCCCUCAUGGAGUCGGUCGACAUCGUGGCGGUAUACUCUCAUGAGACCGGACAAUGGGCUCCGAGCAGUGGGUGGGAAGACAUAGCGUAUCCCGCCGUCAAUCCGGAAUGCGCCGUCCUCCUCAAUGGCAUGAUGCAUUUUCUUCAUUUGACGGUCGACGAGCCUUUGAUAGCCGUGCUGGAUAUGGAGGGGGAGGUUUCUCGGGAAAUUGCUGUCCCAGAUGACAUGCUAGGAGCCAUACCUGGUUAUGGUUCGGUGGGGUGCUCUCAGGGACUCUUGCAUGCUUGGUAUAUGGAUCCCCAUGAUUACGAACUCUCUGUGUGGGUGCUCAAGGAUUAUGCUACCGAAGAGUGGACCCUAAAGCACACCGUCGACGUUCCGCGGCUCUUUGGAGAAACGGAAUCCGAUGAAGAAGAGGAUUAUCGUCGCCAAGAGGAUGGGGCCCAUAAGUAUGAUGUGUUUGCAAUUCAUCCGGAGCAUAAUGUUAUCUUCCUUACUGACUGGAAGGAGGUAAAUCUGUCGUACGAUAUGGACAGCAGGCAAGUGCAUCCCAUGUGCACCACUGGAGAUUUCCUCGGUGGUCUACCUUUUAUUCCCUGCUUUGCGGAUUUGGCUCGACCUUUGCAAAAAUCACUCUUCUAG